ensembl:lncRNA
AUGGAACAAUCUUCAAUAAUAAUAAAAACUAAUUUGUAUUUUACAGUACAUACCUUUUUUUGUUGCUGUAGUUGUUGCAGCAGUAGUAGUAGGAGAGGUAGCAGCAGUAGUGGUAGUAGAAGUAGUAGCAGCAGAAGUAGUAAGAGAAGUAGCAGCAGUAGUAGUAGUAGUUGUAGUAGGAAAAGUAAUAGUAGGAUGAGGAGGAGUAGGAGGAACAGCAACAGAAGUAGUAGUAGGACGAGAAGUAGCAGUAGUAGUUGUAGUAGGACUAGUAGUAGAAGUAGUAGUAGGAGGAGGAGCUGCAGUAGUAGUAGCAGUUGUAGUAGGAGAAGUAGUAGUAGCAGUUCUAGUAGAAGUAGCAGUAGUAGUUGGAGGAGGAGGAACAGCAACAGUAGUAGUAGGAGGAGGAGGAGAAGUAGCAGUAGAAGUUGUGGUGGCAGUAGUAUUAGUGGUAGGAGGAACAGCAACAACAGUAGUAGUAGGAGGAUUAGUAGUAGUAGCAGCAGUAGUUGUAGUAGGAGUAGUAGCUGCAGUAGUAGUAGCAAUUGUAGUAGGAGAAGUAGCAGCAGUUGUAGUAAGAGAAGUGGCAGCAGUAGUAGUUGUAGUAGGAAAAGUAGUAGUAGUAGGAGGAGGAGUAGGAGGGACAGCAACAGAAGUAGCAGCAGUAGUUGUAGUAAGAGUAGUAGUAACAGUAGUAGUAGUAGGAGGAGGAGGAGUAGCUGCAGUAGUAGUAGCAGUUGUUGUAGUAGGAGAAGCAGCAGCAGUAGUAGUAGCAGCAGUAGUAGUAGGAGUUGUAGCUGCUGCAGUAGUAGUAACAGUUCUAGCAGAAGUAGUAGUAGGAGUAGUAGCUGCAGUAGUAGUAGUAGCAGUUGUAGUAGGAGAAGUAGCAGCAGUAGUAGUAGGAGGAGGAACGGCAACAGUAGUAGUAGUAGUAGGAGAAGUAGCAGCAGUAGUAGUAGUUAUAGUAGUAGGAGUAGUAGUAGCAGUAGGAGAAGGAGGAGGAGGAACAGCAACAGUAGUAGGAGGAGGAGGAGCUGCAGUAAUAGUAGUAGCAGUUGUAGAAGUAGCAGCAGUAGUAGUAAGAGAAGUAGCAGCAGUAGUAGUAGUAGUUGUAGUAGGAAAAGUAGUAGUAGUAGGAGGAACAGCAACAGAAGUAGUAGGAGGAGAAUUAGCAGUAGUAGUUGUAGUAGGAGUAGGAGUAGUAGUAGCAGUAGGAGGAGGAGAAGUAACUGCAGUAGUAGUAGCAGUUGUAGAAGGAGAAGUAGCAGCAGUAGUAGUAGUAGUUGUAGUAGAAAUAGCAGUAGAAGGAUGAGGAGGAACAGCAACAGUAGUAGUAGGAGGAGGAGAAGUAGCAUUAGAAGUUGUCGCAGUAGUAUUAGUAGUAGGAGGAACAGCAACAACAGUAGUAGUGGGAAGAGAAGUAGCAGCAGUAGUUGUAGUAGAAGUAGUAGUAGCAGUAGUAGGAGGAUGAGGAGGAACAGCAACAGUGGUAGUAGUAGGAGGAGGAGGAGGAGCUGCAGUAGUAGUAGCAGUUGUAGUAGGAGAAGUAUCAGCAGUAAUAGUAGGAGGAGGAACAGCAACAGUAGUAGUAGCAGGAGUAGUAGCUGCAGUAGUAGUAGCAGUUGUAGUAGGAGAAGUAGCACCAGUAGUAGUAAGAGAAGUAGCAGCAGUAGUAGUAAUAGUUGUAGUAGGAAAAGUAGUAGUAGUAGGAGGAGGAGUAGGAGGAACAGCAACAGAAGUAGUGGGAGGAGGAGAAGUAGCAGUAGUAGUCGUAGUAGGAGAAGUAGCGGCAGUAGUAGUAGUAGUUGUAAUAGGAAAAGUAGUAGUAGUAGGAGGAGGAGGAACAGCAACUGA